AAGUCGAACGGAGGCCCUAGCUUGCUAGGUGUCCUUAGUGGCGCACGGGUGAGUAACACGUGGGAACAUACCUCAUAGUACGGAAUAACUGCGGGAAACUGUAGCUAAUACCGUAUAUUCCAGUAAUGGGAAAGAUUUAUCGCUAUGAGAUUGGCCCGCGCAAGAUUAGCUUGUUGGUGAGGUAAGGGCUCACCAAGGCUCCGAUCUUUAGCUGGUUUGAGAGGACGAUCAGCCACACUGGGACCGAGACACGGCCCAGACUCCUACGGGAGGCAGCAGUAGGGAAUAUUGGACAAUGGGGGAAACCCUGAUCCAGCAAUGCAGCGUGAGUGACGAAGGCCUUAGGGUUGUAAAACUCUUUCAUCGGUGAGGAUAAUGACAGUAGCCGAAGAAGAAGGACCGGCUAAUUCCGUGCCAGCAGCCGCGGUAAUACGGAAGGUCCUAGCGUUGUUCGGAAUUACUGGGCGUAAAGCGCAUGUAGGCGGAACAAAAAGUUAGAAGUGAAAUCCCUGGGCUCAACCUAGGAAUUGCUUUUAAAACUUUUGUUCUGGAAUUCAGGAGAGGAAAAUGGAAUUUCCAGUGUAGAGGUGAAAUUCGUAGAUAUUGGAAGGAACACCAGUGGCGAAGGCGAUUUUCUGGACUGAUAUUGACGCUGAGAUGCGAAGGCAUGGGUAGCAAACGGGAUUAGAUACCCCGGUAGUCCAUGCAGUAAACGAUGGGUGCUAGUC
rnacentral:rRNA from 1 species